GGAAGUAGUCACAACAGUGUGCGGUUGCUAUGGAUGUAGAAUAGUCGCUCGAUAUGACAGUUGGGGUUUGGUAAAUAUUUACGUGAUGGUUAACACUUACCACUGUAUGAUCAACUCGUAGUAAUAAUCUUUAAACAGUGCAUGCUUACCUAUCAGAGAAGCUUAUGUUUUCGACGAAUAAAAGUUGAAAGGAACGACAUACCAAAACAAGAGCUAAGGUUAAUGUUGUGACAUCUGAAUGUGAAUCCACCUGUCGCGUUCAUACACUUGUGUUUGUUUAUAUAGUGCCGAUGUCAAGAUGUCUGUGGAACUGGAUGUAUUUGUUGGAAACACCACCAUUAUGGACAAAGAGGUGUAUCAACUGUGGCUGAAUGGAUAUACAGUGAAUGAUGCAGUGAAGGUCCGGAUAGAAGGAGGUGUGAUGGAGGAGUGUGAGGCCAGUGCAGAAGUGCUGCUCAGUGACACCAUGGACCAGUACAGAACUUUCCAGAUGUGUGAGAGACUUUUGCACCACCCAGCUAAACUAGCCAAUCAG